UACGUAGGAGGCAAGCGUUGUCCGGAAUACUGGGCGUAAAGCGUGCGCAGGCGGUUUGUAAGUCUGUCGUGAAAUCCCCGGGCUCAACCUGGGAAUGGCGAUGGAGACUGCAAGGCUAGAGUUUGGCAGAGGGGGGUAGAAUUCCACGUGUAGCAGUGAAAUGCGUAGAUAUGUGGAGGAACACCGAUGGCGAAGGCAGCCCCCUGGGUCAAAACUGACGCUCAUGCACGAAAGCGUGGGGAGCAAACAGGAUAGA
rnacentral:rRNA from 1 species